rnacentral:rRNA from 1 species
UACGAAGGGGGCUAGCGUUGCUCGGAAUUACUGGGCGUAAAGGGAGCGUAGGUGGACAGUUUAGUCAGAGGUGAAAGCCCAGGGCUCAACCUUGGAAUUGCCUUUGAUACUGGCUGUCUUGAGUUCGGGAGAGGUGAGUGGAAUGCCGAGUGUAAGAGGUGAAAUUCGUAGAUAUUCGGCGGAACACCAGUGGCGAAGGCGGCUCACUGGCCCGGUACUGACGCUGAGGUGCGAAAGCGUGGGGAGCAAACAGG